AACGAACGCUGGCGGCAUGCCUAACACAUGCAAGUCGAGCGCGCCCUUCGGGGUGAUCGGCGGACGGGUGAGUAACGCGUGGGAACGUUCCCUUCUCUGCGGAAUAGCCUCGGGAAACUGAGAGUAAUACCGCAUACGCCCUUUGGGGGAAAGAUUUAUCGGAGAAGGAUCGGCCCGCGUUGGAUUCGGUAGUUGGUGGGGUAAUGGCCCACCAAGCCGACGAUCCAUAGCUGGUUUGAGAGGAGGAUCAGCCACACUGGGACUGAGACACGGCCCAGACUCCUACGGGAGGCAGCAGUGGGGAAUCUUAGACAAUGGGGGCAACCCUGAUCUAGCCAUGCCGCGUGAGUGAUGAAGGCCUUAGGGUUGUAAAGCUCUUUCAGCUGGGAAGAUAAUGACGGUACCAGCAGAAGAAGCCCCGGCUAACUCCGUG
rnacentral:rRNA from 1 species